ACUCCUACGGGAGGCAGCAGUGGGGAAUUUUGGACAAUGGGCGAAAGCCUGAUCCAGCCAUGCCGCGUGCAGGAUGAAGGCCUUCGGGUUGUAAACUGCUUUUGUACGGAACGAAACGGCCUUUUCUAAUAAAGAGGGCUAAUGACGGUACCGUAAGAAUAAGCACCGGCUAACUACGUGCCAGCAGCCGCGGUAAUACGUAGGGUGCAAGCGUUAAUCGGAAUUACUGGGCGUAAAGCGUGCGCAGGCGGUUAUGUAAGACAGUUGUGAAAUCCCCGGGCUCAACCUGGGAACUGCAUCUGUGACUGCAUAGCUAGAGUACGGUAGAGGGGGAUGGAAUUCCGCGUGUAGCAGUGAAAUGCGUAGAUAUGCGGAGGAACACCGAUGGCGAAGGCAAUCCCCUGGACCUGUACUGACGCUCAUGCACGAAAGCGUGGGGAGCAAACAGGAUUAGAUACCCCAGUAGUCCCAU
rnacentral:rRNA from 1 species